ACUGGUGAGGCCGCCUCUCAAAUCUGUUCAUAUUUGGGCUCCUCACUGCAAGGGCACUGCAAGGGCAGUGAGGCGCUGGAGCGUGUCCAGAGAAGAGCCGUGGAGCUGGGCAAGGGUCUGGAGCACAAGCCCUGUGAAUUACAGUCCCGGCUGAAUUAGCUGAGGCGCUUAGCCUGGGGCAGGCUCAGGGGAGACCUUUUUGUUUUCUACAACUGCUUGAAAGGCGAGUGCAGCCAGGUGGAGGUCUGCCUCUUUUCACAGGCACCAGAUGCCGGGACAAGAGGACAGAUCCUCAAGGUGCGGCAGGGGAGCCUCAGCUCGCACAUCAGAAGUAAUUUCUUCACAGAAAGGGUGAUCAGACGUGGCAACGGCCUGCCCAGGGAGCUGCUGGGGUCACCACGAACGGACGUUUAAGGACAGACCAGACGCAACACUUCGCACCAUAGUCUACGUGACACGUCCGUGUUGGCUCACGCACGCUUUCCGAGCCCACUCCGAGCUGCACCGUCCGCACCUCCGGGCCCGGCCCUGUCCCGCCCUCGCCCGGCCGGGCGCGUAGGGCGGGCCCGCGCUGCCGGAAGACUCGCGCGGAUCGAGCGCGUCGAGGGAUCAGCGCCGCUUCCGUCGCGCCACAAUGGCGAGCCCUGGGCGGCGGGUGGGCCGGCGGUAGCGGUAGCGGGCGCUGGAGCAGCUGCAUUACCAGAGAUGUGCAUAACUGGGUAAGAAUUCUGGUCAUUAGGACAAGAGUUCUUUUUGUUUUGUUGCUUGUGUGGGACCAAAAAACUGUCUUCAUUUUAAGAGGGACAUAAACAGGAAAAGCCUCAGGCCUAUAAAAUGCAGACACUGAGAUGCUUAAGAGUGCCUUUGUAGCCUGCAGAAUUAAAAAAAAAAAGACAAAAAGUAUAAUAAUAGGUACCCUACUCCCAUAUUAAUGGCAAUGGAAGGGCAUUUUGUGGUGUUUAGGUGUGUGAAAAUGCUCUUUACAUAUCUUUACAGCUUUAUCUGCUUCCUUAAGCACCGACACAUAUUUUGAAGGAGAAAAACUUUCUUGUUUAGUUGUAUGUGUCUGUUUUUAAAUCAUAAAAUAUUCAGUGUCCAUCAGACCACUGCCACUUAACAUUUUUUACACAGUCACUUCCUGUAGUUCCCCUUUCACAGUAUGCAUGGCUUGUUGGCAACAUUGGAGUUAGAGCUCUUUGGAAGUGUUUUGCAGUAAGAACAUGGAGGUAACCAAAGAAAGAGGGGUGGGUAUGCAAGCAAUUCAGUGGUCCAGAUGUUUUAGACAAUGCUAAAAUAAUAUGAAAUAGGAGUGCUUAAUACUGAGUAAUGUGAGACCUCACAGUGGUGGUCUGGCUAAAAUGUGCAGAGUGCACAUUGUUUCUAAGUCAUUAUAUCAAGCUUGCCUGAUAGCUAGAUUGCAACUUAGCUUCUGCUUCUCUGUGUCCUCUGAUCAUGAUUUUCAUUCUUAGCAAGGUGAACAAAGUGUCUGCUGUGGGCAAAGAAGAAUAUUCUGAUACGUGCAGUGGCCUCAGGGCCAUCCUCGUUUAUUAUGCCUCCUUCAAACAUUCUUUCAAAGAUUCCCUGCUGAGACUGAUGUAGACACUUAAAAUUUUCUAUCUGUCCUAAAGGCAUCUAGACUUUAGUGCCUGGAAAAGCCACAGGCCGUCUCUGCAUUUUUAUGAACCACUAAUAGGUGUUAAGGCAUAGUAAGUGAAUAGACCUGAGUUUUGGACUGCCUUUCCUUGCCUUGGUACAAGCCAAGGCUUUGAUUGUUGAGAUUUCCACAGCCAUUAAUACCCAGUGUUCAUU
ensembl:lncRNA